AUUGAACGCUGGCGGCAUGCUUUACACAUGCAAGUCGAACGGCAGCGCGGGCUUCGGCCUGGCGGCGAGUGGCCAACGGGUGGGUAAUGCAUCGGAACGUGCCCAGCUGUUGGGGCUAGCCCGGCGAAAGCCGGAUUAAUACCGCAUUACACCUGACGGUGAACGCGGGGGACCGAAAGGCCUCCCGCCAUUGGAGCGGCCGAUGUCGGAUUAGCUAGUUGGUGGGGUAAAGGCUUACCAAGGCGACGAUCCGUAGCUGGUCUGAGAGGACGACCAGCCACACUGGAACUGAGACACGGCCCAGACUCCUACGGGAGGCAGCAGUGGGGAAUUUUGGACAAUGGGGGCAACCCUGAUCCAGCCAUGCCGCGUGCGUGAAGAAGGCCUUCGGGUUGUAAACCGCUUUUGUUCGGGAAGAAAAGCUCUGGGCUAAUACCCCGGGGGGAUGACGGUACCGGAAGAAUAAGCACCGGCUAACUACGUG
rnacentral:rRNA from 1 species